UUGAAUGAAAGAGCUCAAGGCACAUAAGGCUGAAUCCAACGAUUAACAGCAUGAUGUAUAACACCUCAGAUACUACUGACAGCCACAGGACACCUGCAAAGUGCAAGAGUGCAACCAGUUACUUAUGUGAUCACUAAAUUGAUGUUUUCAUAGAACUGUCUGUCACCACUCCAAGAACUCUAUCCUGAGGGGUAAAAGCUAAUUCAGAACCCAUCACUAUAUUUGUAAAGUACAAUGCCUGUACCUCACCAGAGGAUGGCCAAAACUCCUGGAGACAGGAAGUACUGCCACGUGCACAGAUGUCUCAGUACUCAGCGUCCCUCUCGAGUUACUCUGACAGAUUUGCUCACAGCUUGUGAGCAAAUGUUUAUAUGCCAGUGUGACGAAAAUAUUUCUGGCUGCAGA